rnacentral:rRNA from 1 species
UUCCUAGUGAUUAGAGUUUGAUCAUGGCUCAGAACGUACGCUGGCGGCACGCCUAAUACAUGCAAGUCGAACGAAGUAGCAAUACUUAGUGGCAGACGGGUGAGUAACAUGUAGGUAUCUUCCCAUUGGUGAGGAAUAACACGAGGAAACUUGUGCUAAUACCUCAUAAGUCUUUACGGAGAAAGCUUUAUGCGCCGAUGGAUGAGCCUGCACUUGAUUAGUUUGUUGGUAGGGUAAUGGCCUACCAAGACAAUGAUCAAUAGCUGAUUUGAGAGGAUGAUCAGCCACAUUGGGACUGAGACACGGCCCAAACUCCUACGGGAGGCAGCAGUAGGGAAUCUUGCACAAUGGGGGAAACCCUGAUGCAGCGAUGCCGCGUGAGUGAAGAAGGCCUUUGGGUUGUAAAGCUCUUUCGUCGGGGAAGAAAAUGACUGUACCCGAAUAAGAAGGUCCGGCUAACUUCGUGCCAGCAGCCGCGGUAAUACGAAGGGGCCUAGCGUAGUUCGGAAUUACUGGGCUUAAAGAGUUCGUAGGUGGUUAAAAAAGUUGGUGGUGAAAUCCCAGAGCUUAACCCUGGAACUGCCAUCAAAACUUUUUAGCUAGAGUAUGAUAGAGGAAAGCAGAAUUUCUAGUGUAGAGGUGAAAUUCGUAGAUAUUAGAAAGAAUACCAAUUGCGAAGGCAGCUUUCUGGAUCAUUACUGACACUGAGGAACGAAAGCAUGGGUAGCGAAGAGGAUUAGAUACCCUCGUAGUCCAUGCCGUAAACGAUGUGUGUUAGACGUUGGAAAUUUAUUUUCUGUGUCGCAGCGAAAGCAAUAAACACACCGCCUGGGGAGUACGACCGCAAGGUUAAAACUCAAAUGAAUUGACGGGGACCCGCACAAGUAGUGGAGCAUGUGGUUUAAUUCGAAGAUACGCGCAGAACCUUACCAACACUUGACAUGUUCGUCGCGACUUUAAGAGAUUAAAGUUUUCGGUUCGGCCGGACGAAACACAGGUGCUGCAUGGCUGUCGUCAGCUCGUGUCGUGAGAUGUUGGGUUAAGUCCCGCAACGAGCGCAACCCUCACUUUUAGUUGCCAUCAUUUAGUUGGGCACUCUGAAAGAACUGCCAGUGAUAAGCUGGAGGAAGGUGGGGAUGACGUCAAGUCCUCAUGGCCCUUACGUGUUGGGCUACACACGCGCUACAAUGGCAUUUACAAUAGGAAGCAAGACGGCGACGUUAAGCAAAUCCUAAAAAAAUGCCUCAGUUCGGAUUGUACUCUGCAACUCGAGUACAUGAAGCUGGAAUUACUAGUAAUCGCGGAUCAGCGCGCCGCGGUGAAUACGUUCCCGGGUCUGUACACACCG